CUCUUGACCAAACUCAUUGAUCUCACCGGUUCUGUCCACUUCUGAGUUCUGCUGACCAACAGAACCUGAUGAGUCCAGUCUGGAUCAAACAGGGGUUCGACGGAGCCGCACGGCGUCUGAACCAUCCCAUUCAUCAGAACCGCUGUUCUGUACCUGCAGGUUCUAUAUCCAUGACUGAUCCAUACGGUUCCGUCCGCCCUUAUCUGGAUGAUUCAGAAGUCGGUUCUGAAGGUAAAAGGUUCUGUUUACAGUUAAACGGGUGAACUGGACUCCUGUCAGAUGAACCAGAAUCUCCCCAGAGGUCCACACAGCAGGUCCCAUACGGAACCAGUGACCUAAACAGAACCCUGAGGACCACGUUCGGCUAUGACAUCAUCAUUCUGGGUUUGACGGUUCGGUAUCGGCGUGGACCCGGAUGUCACUCAGACAGAACCUUUCAUCAGAAUCACAGUCAUCCUGGAUGAAUUAACGAAUUUUAAAUAAAGUUUUUAGAAAAAAGUUUAAAUCUUUAGAACUUUUGGACUUUAAAGGCCAAUCAAAUCUAAAUGACCCGACUGACUCCUGGGAUUACUGGUUCUGUACCAUCAGAACCAGUGGGUCGGUGGUCCCGGGUUCUUGAUGGAGGCUAACAUGAGUGAUGACAUCAUGACAGGAUGGAGGCGGUUGGACGACGACCAUUUGGUUCAGUCCAUUUGACCCAAACUCUUCUUUCUGGUUCCGGUCCAUCUGGGUUUCCCUGGUCAGGUUUGUGAUCCGCUCUGCCGCCGUUCAGCCUCCAGUGUUGAACGUAACCUAAAGGUUUACAUCCAACAUUCCUGAGGAUCUGUCUGACAACAACGCACGUGCGUGAACGUGCGUCCAAACGUCAUUAAUCUGACGGAUUACGGAAAUGCUGCGUCAUGGAUGUGUGACGUCAGUGCCUUAUAGUUUAGACUGCUUUUAUUUUGAAAGGAUCUCCGUGUGACUUCCGUGUCAAGCUCAUCAUUAAACCGUCAGAACCGAUUCCACUUGCCGGUAACGGCAAAGAUCUGCGUCUUCUGAGCCGCUGAUGUCCGGAAGUCAUCCGGUCUACCGGAAGUUCACUCUCCCGGGGUUUUCUUCAGUCCGUUAUCGUUCCAGUUUGGUUAUUUUAACCAAUUCUGUUUCUUCAAACUGAAAUCUGCAUGAAAACUUUACAGACCAGACUGACGGACGCCUUCCGCCUCACCGGAGACUCAUCGGUGUUUCCUUUGACCGGAGCUCGGUUUCCCUCGCGGGACUCACCUGCUGCGAGACGAACCGGUCCAGAACAUCUUUGACCACAGAGCCGCGCGGAAGCACGCAGGCAGAACCUCUGGACCUCGGAACCACAA